AGACGAUGAAUAUGUGCUUGGAAGUUUACACUUCUGUGCAACGGAGAUGACCCUUCCUGCAAGUCCAGACAAACCUAUCAAUAAAGGUGGCUUGCUGUUCUUCACUUCUUUGAUCCGCACGUUUAUUGGAGAUCGGGCACUUACAUUAACAUCAGCUGACAUCGAAGACAAUCAUGCGAAGUGGAAAGCCUCCAUUCAGCAGACUAUUGAAUACUUUUUGUCUUCUUUGUCAGCAACGUAUUCCAGAAUGCCAUCAACAGUGGUAAAGAAGGAGAGGUCUGAGUCCACGUCUGUGUCUCUGAGUCAGGUGUGAGUACUUCUAAAGCUCGC